GGGGGGAGUGCCGGAUCUUGGGCUGUGUCCCCGGCGCCCUGUGGUCCUGGGCCUGUGCUGUUGGAUUCGUGCUCCUGGCCGCGCUGCCCCCU
rfam:Canis lupus familiaris chromosome X, whole genome shotgun sequence.